rnacentral:rRNA from 1 species
UACGGAGGGUGCAAGCGUUAUCCGGAUUCACUGGGUUUAAGGGGUGCGUAGGCGGGUAGGUAAGUCAGUGGUGAAAUCUUCGAGCUUAACUCGGAAACUGCCUUUGAUACUAUCUAUCUUGAAUAUUGUGGAGGUAAGCGGAAUAUGUCAUGUAGCGGAUGAAAUGCUUAGAUAUGACAUAGAACACCUAAUUGCGAAGGCAGCUUACUACGCAUAUAUUGACGCUGAGGCACGAAAGCGCGGGGAUCAAACAGG